rnacentral:rRNA from 1 species
GGGGCUGCUCCUAGUACGAGAGGACCGGAGUGGACGCAUCACUGGUGUUCGGGUUGUCAUGCCAAUGGCACUGCCCGGUAGCUAAAUGCGGAAGAGAUAAGUGCUGAAAGCAUCUAAGCACGAAACUUGCCCCGAGAUGAGUUCUCCCUGAGACUUUAAGUCUCCUGAAGGAACGUUGAAGACGACGACGUUGAUAGGCCGGGUGUGUAAGCGCAGCGAUGCGUUGAGCUAACCGGUACUAAUGAACCGUGAGGCUUAACCUU